rnacentral:rRNA from 1 species
GACGAACGCUGGCGGCGUGCCUAAUACAUGCAAGUGGGACGCAAGGGAACACACUGUGCUUGCACACCGUGUUUUCUUGAGUCGCGAACGGGUGAGUAACGCGUAGGUAACCUGCCUAUUAGCGGGGGAUAACUAUUGGAAACGAUAGCUAAUACCGCAUAAUAUUAAUUAUUGCAUGAUAAUUGAUUGAAAGAUGCAAGCGCAUCACUAGUAGAUGGACCUGCGUUGUAUUAGCUAGUUGGUAAGGUAAGAGCUUACCAAGGCGACGAUACAUAGCCGACCUGAGAGGGUGAUCGGCCACACUGGGACUGAGACACGGCCCAGACUCCUACGGGAGGCAGCAGUAGGGAAUCUUCGGCAAUGGACGAAAGUCUGACCGAGCAACGCCGCGUGAGUGAAGAAGGUUUUCGGAUCGUAAAGC